rnacentral:lncRNA from 1 species
UAGAGAGAGAGAGAGAGAGAGAGAGAGAGAGAGAGAGAGAGAGAGAGAGAGAGAGAGAGAGAGAGAGAGAGGACACAUGUUGGAAUGAAUCGGUCUCUGAUCGCACAGGAAGGCUCACCUCUCUGACCGUGAAUGCAGACAUGAUGAGUGAACGUUCAUCUGAGUAGAAGACUCUACUGUAGAUCUGCAGCUCCGUGCAUUGACUCUGUGCAUUGACUCUGUGCACUGAGCGGGAUCUUCGCCUCACUUCCUCCCGCAGACAUGAGCUCUCUGCAAGGAGAGAAGGCAGCAGGAGUCGGUUCGGAGGACCAGUACCGCGCCUUGGCCUGUGACACUGCGCUCAGCACGCUGGUGGCCGUGGUUCUCUACGUGCUGCUCAAAGUCAGCCUGGACGGCUUCAGGCAGUGGAGAGCACGGAUCUCGGUGCUCAUCGUGGGAUCGGGACCGGUGGGACUGACGGCCGCCCUGGUCGCUGUCCGCUCCGGGAAGGUGCUGAGGCUCACCGUGGUGGACGAGCGUUACCGGAGCGCGCUGCUCUGUCGGCCCCAGCAGAUCGCUCUGGAUCCCCGUAGCGUAAAGUUCCUGCUGGGACUGGGGGUGGACUUUGAUAACAUGGAGGGCUGCUGGCACAACGAGCACUUCUUCACCAGGAUAGGAGUGUUCCAGGAGUACCUGCUGAGCAUCCUGGAGAAGAAGAAGCAGAGUGUGGACGUCCAAGUCCAGCUCGGUACCAAGUUCACAGACGAAUACCUGCGGCGGGUUCAACAAAGCGAGGGGCCUCGUAUCAUCGUGGUCGCUGACGGCUCGUGUGGGGACUCGUGCUCCGUGUUGGGAAUCAGCUCUGACUACACAGUGGAGUCCUGCCACGCCUUCGGAGCUAACGCUUCCAUAGAGAGACUGGACCAGAGGCAGGUUCCGACCCCUGAGAUCCGAGCCCACAGCCUGUACUUUGACCUGUCUGCUUACGGAGUGGAGGCCCUGCGUGAGCAUCGAAACCCAGCAGCUAAAUCAGGAUUUCACCUGAAGAUUUACGGCACCUUCAGAAACCGUUACAUGGCUCUGGUCUGCCCCUCCUCCGACACCAGGAUGGUUCGCUUCCUGCGGCACACGGCCAACUCCUCCAUAAUGAAGAACAUCUUCCACCAGUCCUUUAACGCCUACAAGACGGACAUCGAGCCUCGUCUCAGCGACGUCACCCACCACCACAUGCAGUGCAGUCGGCGUCUCUUUGAGGUCCAGCUGUCACACAAACGCGUCAGCGCCGCAUACAUCGAGGGCGACAACGUGGCGGUCACCGUGGAGGGCGAGGCAGCUCGAGUGCUCAAUUUUGACACAGGCUGACAUCAGGGCUCUGUGUAAGAAGUCAGGUUGGCAGCAGAGGAGAGAGGAUGUGUGGUUCAGCAGGAGGAGGAAUCAGGAGCAGCCAAAGCUUCAGAAGAGGUUUUGUGAAGCCAGG